rnacentral:lncRNA from 1 species
GUUGAUGUUGGUGGCUGGUGAUGAUGGCUUGGGUGGGUUCAGGGAUCGCUCUGGAGUGGGCUUCGUGGGGGAGUACUUGAUUUAAUGUGCGGGGUGUUACUUUCAACACCCUCCCAAUCACAAUAAUAACAGCAGAAUCAGCUAGCAGCAGCAGCAGCGACCACUAUUGACUACUGUUGCCGCUUGGCUGUGACAAUGCAAUUAUAAAUGGUGACAAAAUAAUUUCCGCUACGUGAUUUUUAUGACAGUUGUUCGAAUUCUGCUCCAAUGCACUCCUGCCAGCCAGCCUGUCAGCCACAAAAUUGAAUCAAAAUUAAAUAGUUUAGCUGGGAACUUGAAAGACUCUCUUGGGUUCGGUUCGAUUCUCUCUCUCUCCCCUUUCCAGGGGCUCAUUUCAAAUGCCAAUUUAAUGACCAUAAUUGGUUAGGAUGUGGCGAGCCGACUGAAACCGCUGGCAUAAUUUCAGCUCAUCCUGAUUUCCUGUCCUGUGUGGGUGCUGUGCUGUGCUGCUCAUCCUCAUCAGUGGCUCGCCUCGUCUCGCCACACAAACGGAGUAGGAAAUCAUAAUUUCAAGGGUGUCCAGCUCAACUUUUGGGUACGUCUCGCGAGUUCAUAAAAGCUUGUCAUUUGUUGCACGCAACCGUUGCGCUGCGUUAUAAUUGGAAAUUACCAUCAAACAAAAAUAUACAGCAAAUGUACGAGAAUGUGCGAAAAAUACCUGCACCAAAAACAGAAAACAGCACAAUACAGCACGAGAAUAAAAGCAAAAAUAUAACACAUAUUAAUAGGCAGAAAGAUAAUGGUGUUCUUCUGAUAUUGAAGCUAGCUAAAGUUUAGUUUUGUUUUAAUCAGACUCUUGCCUGUGUUGCCUGACCUGAGUCUGUGUGUUGAGUCUGAAAACGUUUAGAAUUUCCACGCUAAAGAUAGGGCAGCAAAAUUGCAUUGACUGCUGAUACGGGGCUGAGCGAACGGAGACCGGAAAAACGCCCACGGUUCGCGAAUUUUCUCCCAAAAUCGCUAGCUCCUCCGCCCAUUUGCCUUGCCAAAAAUGUGUAAUUUACAACAAAAAGAGGUGGAUGGGUGUGCGGGGCAAAAUAAAACAAAAUACUUUCAGUUCGUCGAACGGUGAGGAAUAAACUUUGUUGCAUUCGAGUUGAACUCUUUUGUGUGUGUGUGUUUUAUUUGCAUUUUGUGUAUCAUUUUACGGGAAUUUCACAGACACGGGCCAUAUGGAGGUAAUCGGCAGGCAGGUCGCCCAUUAAUAAAUGGAUAGUUAUUUGCAGUUUAUUUAAUUGAAUUUUUUCACUUUUCAGUUUUUUGUUCUUCACUCCCCCCCAUGCAUCUUGUAACAAAUUGCGAGGGGGAGUGCCGUGGGAGGGAGAGCAGUGUGUUGUAUAAUUUGCUUCAUAAACAAAAAAGCAAGACACAUACAUGUACAUACACACAUGUAUGUGUGUGUGUGUGUGUGUGUAUGCAUUUUAAAUAAACAUUUGACAGCGAACGGAAAUUGCGCUUAAUUGCCA